rnacentral:rRNA from 1 species
AGCUCCAAUAGCGUAUGCUAAUGUUGUUGCAGUUAAAAGGCUCGUAGUCGAACUUUUGACCCUUGUGAACACAGUCCAUUCCCUUGUGGUUUGUUUAGUACUGUUUUUUUAGUUCACGGGUCAUUCUUUUUUUUUCUGAAAAGCAUCACUGCCCUUGAUUGGGUUUUUUUUUGGUGAUUUUGCAAUUCAGAUCUUUUACUGUGAGAAAAUCAGAGUGUUCAAAGCAGGCACAUUUUUUGCCGUUGAAUGGUUCAGCAUGGAAUAAUAAGAUAAGACUUUGGUUUUAUUUUGUUGGCUUCAUUAGAACUAAAGUAAUGAUUGAAAGGGAUAGUUGGGGGUGCUAGUAUUGAAUGGUUAGCGGUGAAAUGCGAUGACCCAUUUAAGACUAACUUAUGCGAAA